GGGGAUUUAGCUCAGUGGUAGAGCACUUGCCUAGCAAGCACGAGGCUCUGGGUUCGGUCCCCAGCUCCG
rnacentral:tRNA from 1 species